UCAAGAAUAUCCUCAUAACUUCCUGAAAAAGUCUUCAAUGACAACUGUACUUGAGGUCUUAAAAAUCUGACCUAAUGAAAAUUAGAUCGUUCACAGUGUUAUUUAUUGCCUUUAAUCCUUGCUGAGGGUCUGUUGUGGGGCAGACACCGUGCUAGGGGGUGGGGGAAGAGUCGAAGAACGGAACACAGUUCGUAUCUUCCAGAGGCUCACAGGAGAAUGGAAUCAGAAAGAAUUUGCCAAGCACCGGCUAAAAAAAAAAAAUAAUAAAUAAAUAAAUAAAAAUAGCACGAGUCCAGAAAUGCAUCUACAGACCUGCCUAAUUGGACCCUGCACAUCAAGACCAAGAAGCUAGAGGCUCCGAGUGGAGAGGCAGCCCAGAGGGUGUCCAGAUAUUAGGAGCUGCAGAUGAGGUUCCAGAAAGUGUCUCCUACUGUGCAAAUGUUGCAUUUGCCUAAAAGGAAGUCAAAUAGAGAGCAGAUUAGGAAAAGGAGAAGAAUAAAUGACAUAUAAUUCCA